rnacentral:rRNA from 1 species
UACGAAGGGUGCAAGCGUUACUCGGAAUUACUGGGCGUAAAGCGUGCGUAGGUGGUGAGUUAAGUCUGAUGUGAAAUCCCCGGGCUCAACCUGGGAAUGGCAUUGGAUACUGGCUCGCUAGAGUGCGGUAGAGGGUGGUGGAAUUCCCGGUGUAGCAGUGAAAUGCGUAGAGAUCGGGAGGAUUAUUUAAGGAGACGGCGACCACCGAGACCUACACUGACACUGAGGCACGAAAGCGUGGGGAGCAAACAGG